UACGAAGGGGGCUAGCGUUGCUCGGAAUGACUGGGCGUAAAGGGCGCGUAGGCGGAUGGCACAGUCAGAUGUGAAAUUCCCGGGCUUAACCUGGGGGCUGCAUUUGAUACGUGUUGUCUAGAGUGAGGAAGAGGGUUGUGGAAUUCCCAGUGUAGAGGUGAAAUUCGUAGAUAUUCGCAAGAACACCAGUGGCGAAGGCGGCUCACUGGCCCGGUACUGACGCUGAGGUGCGAAAGCGUGGGGAGCAACAGG
rnacentral:rRNA from 1 species